AGAGCUUCCUUGCCGGCUGACACCCUGCUAAAACAUGGUGUGACUCAUAAUAGGCGCCUGCCGCUAUGUGGCUAGGAAAAUAGCAGCUUCCCUGCGCCGGGAGGAUCUGGGAGAGCCUAUAUCGGUGUGCAAGAGUCGGAUCUGCCAACCUGGCCACCAAAACUCCAUAACAGGCAACCAAAACC